AAAGUUCUGUUACAGCUAGGAAGUUGAAAAGUUGGAAAUAAGCUGUAAAAUACAGCAGUUUGAAGCAACUCUUCAAAAGACUUUACCAAAAGCUUCUUGAAAUUCCCAAGCGCCCAAUUCCAAUCCCUAAUUACAGCGCCCCAAAUCCAAAAGCAGACCACUUUUCAAUCAAUGUCCAUUUACUUUUUGCAAACCUGCAAAACCAAU
rnacentral:lncRNA from 1 species